ACGGUUGUCGCCACUGCUCGGGGGAAAAAAAUGUGUAUUUUUACUUGGAUCUUAAGUUUGGUUAGUGUAUUUGAGCAUAUGAAACUGGUUGUAUCUCCAACCAAGUAUUUCAGUGGGUUCCCAUAAUAAAUUGCAUCAAAUGGGCAAAACGUUGGAUACAUCCAUACUAACUAGAACACUUUAGGCAAGUUAUUAGUUUGCCAGGUUGGUGAAUUGACAUACUAGGUAAUUUGUCAAGUCGUCAGUUCAUAACUUGAUAUCCUGCAGAGCGCCGACGCACCUUAGACCUGCGUUGUUAUGUUGAGCUCCGUGGACCAAACCUUGUUUUUCUUCCAUAUUCAGGAUAACGAAGGGCAAACGGCACCUCACUAUGUGAACUAUACUAUGAACUUUAAUACUUUUAUCUAGGCUUCUUGCCAACCAGGAUAUUGACAUGCUGUGAACUUGUUUGCUUGUAGACUGACUGUAAAAGGCUGAUAUGCCAAGUAUUGUCAUCCCAAAGUAGAUGCAUCUAUUAUGAUUUGGUUUUCAUGUAGUGUGUUGCGGUCAACCUUCUUGCUUCUCCGUUUUCCUUUACGACCUAAAUUCAAAAAACACCUUACGUGCGUUUCAAGGCAACCUCUACCCCAUCCCGGUCUCUGUUUAUCUUUGUAUUUUUUUUUUGUAUAAAUAGAAUGUAGUUAAGAAGCAUUUUGGAACAUUUUUAUGUUAUGGGGCAUGAGAAUGAUAAUACUACCUCAAGUAUGGAUAAAGCGGGACAAAUGGGCUGAGAUGGAGUUACUGAAACUAUAAAUUUCCUCCCAUUUUGAUCAUUCAUCACUCCGUAGAAUCAAAAUGAACUAGCGAAUCCUUACAUUUGCUGUUAACGUUAGAUUAGUAUAGCAUUGUUGGUUCCUGUUUAGUUCCUGGUAAACGACAUACGAGUGAGAUAGUUUGGUCACCUCUGAUAGAUUGAGUUGUUAUGCUUGCAUUAGGCAAGCCGGUAGCCGGUGCGUUCCACGUCUAGGAGCAGGUCCCCUAAUGUAGCAUUUUCUUAAUAUGGUCAUGUGUUCUGAAUGUAAGAAACAAAAUAUGAAAGUAUGGAUCUCUCCUUUUUUUAUCCGGGGAUUCUGCCCUCUGGAUUUAGGGAUGUAGAUUUGAUAUACAGAUAUCGAAGAAGGCACUUAUUGUUUAUGUAGAUGAAUCAGUUUCCUUGAUUUCUCCUUUUGCCAUCUUGACUUUAGGUUCUUAUUGUUUAUGUAGAUGAAAAUUGUUGUGCAAUCUCAAGGUAACGAACGACUAACAAGACCAUGGUCUGCUGGUCAAAGAUUUAGACAUAGGACACACAAUAUAUCAUCUCUUAGGAUUCCGGUGAUCUCUAUCCAGGAUGCACUACACGUAUUUGAAAACUGAGAAUCAGAGACCUUGAUGAAAUUCAUCUCUGAAGUUUGCUUAAUUUGCUGAUGGUUCCAUGAACUUUCAAAGGACGGAGGUGCUCGGCUGGUUAUUUUUUGGUGAUGGUGGAGGUCCCUGAGUUGGUUAAUGUUGAUUUUGCUCAGGCACGAUCCAUCUUAGGGAUCAACGAGAGGUGGCUCAAGCGAUACGGGAUGGUGACGAGCAGCGGCGACCACAGCAGACAGUGCAGCAAACUGGACAUGCUUUAGAAAUGGUGGUCAAGACAACACGUC